rnacentral:lncRNA from 1 species
AUGAAAUUUCCAGCUAAUGAAAGGGGAACCACUUUUUCCCCAAGUUCAGAAUUAGCAUGGGGGUAUUUGUGGAAUUACCUUUGGGGCAUUAUCACACCCUGUACCAUUCAUCUGUAUUAACGUUGGAAUGUACUUCACUCAAUGUUUAUUGCUGUGGUUGAUAUUUCAAAAGCUGCUUUCAAAAAGAAUCCAUGCAUCUCAGCAUUGUUUAAAUUGUAUUUAGUUAUGACCUCUAGAAUGUUUGUUAGUCACACAAACAGAAAAAGAUACUUUUUCCAUUUGAGGUAUUUGUCUCUUGAUUCUUCAAAAGCAUUUCUGAAAAGGUGGGAACAGCUUUAGAGAGAUGCGAGGAACCGAUGGAGCUGGGCUUGCCUGUUCCCUCCGCUGUGCUGUUGGAGCCUACCCCUCUGCCGGGACAGACCCUGGGAUUGCUUAUCAUGAUGGAUAUAGCUGUUGCCCACUCGACCUUGUUUCUUCCAGGUUUACUUGUCCCUGGACGAUUCAGCAUUUAACUCAAGUUACCUAGGAUUUCAUGCAUGUUUGGUUAAACCCAUGAUGUUCAUUCACUUAGAAAUCCAGAUGGGAAGCAGAGCAAGGGGUUAGGACCUGGCUCUAGCAGCUGGGCCUUCAGAGGGUUGCUUUGUGUGGCCUGUUGGGCAUAGAUGUGUCAGGACUCCUCUUAUCCCCUGUCCCCCAGGCCUGCCUCCCUGUGCAGAGAGAGAGAGAACAAGGGAGAGAGCAGGAGAGCCAGAACUCCCCAGUAGGUCUCAGAGAACAGGAUGAUCAGAACUUUUCAAGUUAUUCUAGUUUUUAAGCGAAAUAUUAUCCUGUGAAAGGUUUACAUUCUCCACGCGAUGAAUAUGGAAUAAGAAACCCUGUGCUGCUAUCCUGCCAAGAUCAUUGUAAUGGAGGAGUCGGUUUGCAGUACACACCAAGUGACCGGCUCCUUCAAGCUGCUUCUUGAAGUAACGAUGAAGAACACAGACAUUUAUUUUAAAUAUAAAACCUGUUUCUCUUUUGUUUUUGUUGCUAUUGUUCAAACUUGGAUUUGUAGAGUAUUUGAAAAAAAUGUAUAUACAUUUAAAAGAAGAAGCAGCAGCAGCUCAUAGGAGUCCUUCAGGUGUGGGAUUUUGUUUUCUGAUUUGAAUGGCAAAUUCUCCAAGUCCCUGGACCCUAGAACUGGACAGUAUUGUGGCUGCAUUUGCUCUAAAAGUAGUUGGUGAUGCAAUUUUUUUUCUUGUUAAAAACAUGUUAGAAGCAAAGAGUAUACAUAGAAUCUGACUUGACUAGCCUUUUUCUUCCUCUUUUUUUUUAAUAACCUCAAUUAUUUUGCAAUCAGACAACAGAGAGCCAUCUGCAUGUAGUUCAUAUUUCAGAAGGGCUUCACACCCAAAUCUCACCUCCUCUGUAAGCUUUGAAAUCUCUCCAUCAAUCAAAGCCAAGCAGACGUAGAAGUGGGCUGAGAGACUCAGAGAGAGCCAUCGAGAAGAGCAGCCCAAUGCCCUCCAGAGCCCCAGUACCCGCCCAGGCUCUCUGAGAGAUGGCAAAAAAAACAGAGAGGUUGAUCUUCAGUGAUUCCUCAGGGCCUGAACUUGCGUGAAGGCUUGAGAUGUCCAUGAGAGCCACAGUUAAGGGAGCACUUUCAUGUAGUUCAAGUAAAACCCUCCAUCCUGUCCAGCUCGCUUGUCUCUGGAUGUUUGGGUGUGGCCUUUAUUCAUACAUACAUACAUUUUUUCCACAGGCAUAUUCUUAUUUAUUACAUCUAAGAGCAUUGCUGGGUCUAGGAAAGGGGGAAGCAGGGUUUAGGAAGUGCUCAUAAGCCAGGAGGGAUUAUAAUAAUCAGGACUGAAUGUAGAUAAUGGGUGGCAGUACCCACAUGUGUAGGUCCCACACUGAAUAGAAUAGGCAGAAUUGUGAAUAGCCCGUGUUUGUAAUGGAGCCUAGACUAAAACAACUCAUAAAUGUGAGCUUCAACUCUAACUGUGCUUUGAAGGUGAUGGGUGUCUCUAUACUUCCUUAUCAGUUACAGUUAGAAAUGUACACCUACCCUAUCAGGAAAAAAUAACAGGAAAAGGUUGAAAUAUAAGCCAGUCUAAGGAAAUUAGGGAGCCACUAAAGUUCUCUUCUGAGCUUAUACUAUGGUCUCUAUUGCAGCUCAGACAAAUAUGAUCACACACUUUUUAAGAAAUACAAUUCUCCAUUGUCGGGCCCAUGAAGGCUCUGAUCUGAUCUGUAUUGUUGCCCAAUUUGGGUCUUUCAGGGAUUUUUCUAUGCCAUUAUUAUAGGGACAAAGGACACUUGUUAUGAGGUGGGAGAGAUGAAGAAUUCUUACAUGAGUAGAACAUUUCCUAGAUUGGGCCAGGGUGUGAAGGUCUUCAGCAAAAUCAAGGCUGUGAGAAGUGAGGGACCUUUAUGGGGGUCAAAGUUAUGUUCGCCUGAGGACUUUUUGCAAGAAGCAAGGAAGCUCUAUGGUACAUUUAUACUCCAGGGACAUUGACCUAGUUCAAAGUCUGGCUUAAUAUGGUCAAGCAAUAGCAUAUGUUUCAAGUUGGAUAUGGCUAAUGAGUGUUUAAACAGUAAGUUUGACAUUUUAACCAACAGGGUAUUUAAACAACAACUUUCCAGUUGGUAGGGACAUCUGUUUCUCUCUGUUUAUUAUACACAACAUAGAAAAAAUUCAAUAAGAUUGAAUUAAGUAAAACAUUGUGAGACUGAGUUAGGUAAACGAUUGUGGCAGUCCCUUAGCCUUGGCCAGGGAAUUAUUCAAUCCGCUAUAGACAUCUGUGCACUGUGCAUCUCUCCAGGCAUGAAGAAAACCAGGUAGAGGGCAGAUGGCACCUGAGCACUUCAUCCUGGAUAUCUAAGAAGAAUAACAUAAAGCCAGUGUUCCAUGCACCAAGUCCAGUACAGAAGACAAAAAGAGUCACAGAAGAUGGAAAAGCUAGCUAAUCAGAAAUCCUGGGAAUGUUAAGUGUGCCGGCCAUGUGGCUAUGCGGCAAUGCCUGUACCUUCCCACUUGGG